GCCAGUGUGGUACAGUGGUUUGAGUGUUGGACUACGACUCUGAGAUUGGGGUUCGCAUCCCCACUUGGCCA